UGUAAUGAAGCCCACCUGCCCACAUCGCUCGAAAAACUUUUUAUUAAAGAGUCAAAAUUAACUAACUAAAUCACACAAAUUUGCUGGGAAUAAAAUGCCCAAAUACUUAAUGCCCUGUGUGGGCCACUGGAAGGCACCCAGCUGAAAAGCUGUUACUGGGCAGUAUGCUGUCAGAGCCAAAGCUUCGGAUUUAGACCAAUUGACUUUGUAUCCUAAGGAAUUAAUAAUUCUGUGGAGGCAAGGCAUAGAUCUAGUGGGGUUGGAGACAAAUAAUAAAAUACUGUAUCAUCUGCGUAAAGCAAAAGAUUAUGCGCCAUACCUCCCGCCACCACCCCUGGAAAAUCAUCCUCCUUUCUUAUUGCAGCUGGUAAUGGUUCCAGGCAAGACAGAAUAAUGGGGAAAGAGGGCACCAGAGUAAAAUAAUCUGAAAUUAAUCCAUUUGUUUAUACCGCCGCUACCGGGUGUCUAUAAAGUAACUUAAUCCAACCAAUGACAUAACUUGACUUAAUUGGUUAGCCAAAAGUUUUGACAAUAUUUAAACAUCUAGCUGGAUCAGGGAAAUUGGAUGGUAACUCUUACACUCGUUUGGAUCUUUGUCCUUUUUAAGAAUCAGACUGAUCCGGGCUUGUGUCAUGGUUGGCGGAGCUUUCCAUUCUUUAAAGAUUCCGUAUAAACUUCUAACAAAUGUGGAGCCAGUUCUGUAGCAUAAGAUCUAAAAAAUUCAGCGGCAAAGCCAUCUGGCCCCGGAGCCUUGCCUGUAGGCAAGGCCUUAAUUACCUCGCCAAGCUCCUCCAAGGUUAUCUCAGAAUCAAGAUAUUUUUUUGCUCAUUCGUCAGUUUAGGGAGUUCUAAUGGUUCCACAAAGUUCCUAAUAUCUUCAUCAGUGGAUGAAGACAUGGACCUAUAGAGAUCAAGGUAGAACUCUUUAAAGGCAUUAUUAAUAUCAAUGGCUGAGGUAAAUAUUUCACCACCAGCAGAUUUCACUGAGGGAAUGGUAGAAAAAGACUCUCUCUGUUUUACAUAUCUAGCCAGAAGUUUUCCUGCCUUGUCCCCUGACUCAAAAUAUGACUGUCUUGCCCUGAAUAGCCAAAACUCCACCUUCCGUGACAAAAUAGUAUUAUAUCUGUAUUUCAAGCGGCUCAAUUCUCUGAGGCCAUUAGAUAACAUUUGGUGCUUCAGCUCUGCCUCGGCACUUUAAAUAUUCCCUUCCAACUCCACGAGUUCUCGUUCUUUGGAUUUUUUGGUGAAUGAGGCAUACUGUAUGAUCCGACCAUUAAGAACUGCCUUAAGUGCCUCCCAAGCCACGCCCACAGAGGAUACUGAGGACCAGUUGAUCUCCAUAUAAACAUUUAUUUCAGCCUUUAACAUUUGUUGAAAUUCAGGAUUUUGCCAAAGGGAUACAUUAAAGCAACAACUAUAUGAUUUAUUUUUCUCCUUUUGUGGCAACACCUCUAAACUCACAGGGCAUGAUCUGAGACUAAGAUAUUUCCAGAUUAGCAAUCAACAACAGAUGAAAUGAGGGAUUUACAUAUAAAAAAAAAAUCUAUUCUAGAUUAAAUCUUAUGGACUGAUGAAAAAAAAUGUAUAGUCCUUACCAGAUGGGUUCAAAAGUCUCCAAAUAUCUGUAAGACGAAGAUUUUUACACAUCCUGUGAAGCGUCAAUGUUGCUCUAGGGGGCUUGCACACUUUUGCUUCACUAUGAUCAAGGACUGAGUCCAUCAAAAGAUUAAAGUCUCCUCCCAGUAUUAUAUCAUGAGGGGUGCCAGCGGCUUGCAACAUCCCUUCAAGAUCUAUAAAAAUGCAUCAGUGUUAGGUGCAUAAAUAUUAGUCAAAAUCACUUGAAUUGUAGAUGUUUAUUUAUCAAUAUAAUGACUCCCCUGCUCUUAUUUGAGCUAGCACUAAUGAAAACAUGCCCACCCCAUAUCUUCCCAAAUUUUUCAGCUUCCUGCGGGGAAAGAUGCAUUUCUUGAAGAAACACUAUAUCGUAUUUCUUAUGUUUAAGAAAAGAAAUAACCUUCCUUCUUUUUAUGGGGUGCCCCAACCCAUUCACAUUCCACGUGGAGAGAGAUAGUACACUCAUAUUAACAUUUGACAUAUUGACAUAUUAGAAAAAAUAGUUUGUGUGUCAAAACAAAAUUAUGAAGACCACAUUCCAACAUUAGAGCAACAUUCAAACCCCAAACUUCCCCCAGAACAAAAAGAAAAACGUGUGCAUUAACCCCAUGCCAACCGGUGUCAAUCCCUAUAAACACAGUCCAUUCACGCCUACGAGAACCCCCGCGACAACCUUGCCAUCGGAUUGCUCAAAUCCGGUGCUUCUGUACAAAUUUUGUGAGACAGAAUUACAUAACAGAAAAUAAUCUAUAAAACAAACUCCAGCCAAUAGGCAGAACCAGCACAAAAAGAAACAAAAAAUGUGCUCAGUUCCUCGGACGAACAAGUGAAUGUUCAGUGUGUCAGGCACACUCGGCUGCAUCACACAAUGACUUACUCAUUCCAUUGACUUUAUGAAGGACAAUGCUUGUUGUGGGCAUGUAAAUGUUUUACGGCCAUCCUUAGCAUCUAUUCUUAAUUUGCCCAGGAACAUCAGUGCAGAAGCGACCUUCCAUUGAUGUAAGAGUUUCUUGCAUUCCUUGAAUCGAUCAUGUUUCUCUCUUGUCGAAUUCACAAAGUUGUGGAAAGAAAAUGUUGUGGUUCUUCCAAGAAAGCCUUCCUUCACUCCUUGCCUUGCGUAACACAAGAUCUUUAUCGGAUGAUCUCAGAAAUUUGGCCAGAAUUGAUCGGGGCCUGUCUCCCUCAGCGGAUCUCUGAGCCGAGCUCGCUUGAUUUCCAGCUUAUGGCCCGUUAUGUCGAGCAGACUCGGGAAGAGCUCGUCUAGGAAUUUCACCAUAUCUCUGCCUUCUUCAUUCUCAGGAAUUCCAACAAUUCGGACGUUGUUUCGCCGGCUACUAUUCUCAAGGUCUUCCAACUUUUCCAAAAUGCAUUCCAAGUCUAUCUUGGUCACUAGCGGGUUAGCAGCUAAUUCCCUCUCUGAUGACUCCAGAUAAUCGAUCCGUUUCUCGACGUCCGACAAUCUUGUAACCACCUCAGAGAAUUUUGUCUCUAUGGCAGUGAUCAAUCAACAUAUUACAGCAAGAUCCUCCAAGUCAGCAACGACCUUCAUCAGCAUUGCCGACAUGCUCGACAGCUGACGCUGAAUGCCGCCGCACCGUCCAAACUGAGUACCCAGUCUGCGGCCCUGUCCGGGGUAUCAGCUUGAGCACGUUAGGGUUAGGGUUAGGUGUCUUUUAAUGUCUCCAGAGCCCGAGGAUUUUUAAUUCUUUGACACAUUGUCUUCAUAGAAGAGUUAUGGAUCAGGGUGUAUCGAAUCUCACCGGUUUAUGACAUAAAAAGUAUUAAAAACUAGCAAAGUGCGCAGAGCUCUCCAUUCACACGUCCAACCCUCGCAUGGUGCCAUGCAACUCUCCCAGGCAGGUGGUUUUAAUGCUUGUGGCUGAUCGGCGUACAGUUGCAAUCGAAAUUAUUCAACCCCCCAAGACAGUAAGGAUUUACAAGGUAAGCUUUUCUGAUGGCCCAGAAUUUUUUAAACUUCACAUCUAUUUCAGUUGAGUGACACAUUCAAAGUCGUAGUGUGAAUAUAUAUUUCUUAAAAUAUUUUUUAAAAAUACAGCCAUGUCAUAAUUAUUCAACCCCUGUUGCAUGUAGCUGUUUCUUAAAUAUGUAAGGCUACACAAGUAAUUGUUUUAAAACAAAAUUAAGUCAUCAAUCUGCAAUGGCAUUUAUUUAAGUUUUCAAAUGUAAGUUUAGCAUUGUAAGCAAAAAUUUAUUUCUAUGCAAAAAAUGCAAUUACAAAUAAGCUUUCUCAAAAGCUAAUCGAGGAGAUUAUUUCAUUACACAAGAAAGGUCAUGGCUAAAAGUACAUUUCCAAGGCACUUCAAUUUCCAAUAGACAAAGUUGGCAGCAGCAUUCAUACAUUUUUUAAAUAUGGUACAACAGCAACCUUCUUGGCAUGUGAAAGAAAGCAAAACUUCAAGGGAAAUGUUGACUUGAAUAUUCAAGAAGUAAUUAGGAAAGACCUGUGGAGUCCUGGAAGAAGGUUUUAUAGACGUAUGACACUGAAAAUGAGUUUUACACCCAUGGGUCAGCAGUACGUCUGGAGUAAGAUGACAAGGUGAUGAGAACGACACCAUCCCCACAGUCAAGCAUGGAGGUGGGUCAGUCCUGUUAUGGGGGUGUUUUGCGGCUGCAGGAAACAGCUAUCCUGACUAUGUGACUGACACCAUGGAUUCUUUCAGGUAUCUGGUCAUUUUGGCAUGAAAAAUGUGAUGCCUUCAGUGUGUAAAUUGAAGCUCGGUGAUCACUGGACUUUCCAGCAAGACAAUAACACCAAGGAUACAUCCAAGUUGUCCAAAGUCUGGUUCAGGGAUAGGUCGAGGAAUGUCCUUAAAUGGCCCUUUCAGUCAUUAAAAUCCCAUUGCAAACUUUGUUGGGAUUUCAAGGAUGCAGUGGCAGCACAGAAACCAAAGAAUGUCAAUGAGCUGGAAGCUUUUGCUCAUGAGAAAUGUGUAAAAAUUCUAAUAGAGAGGUGUCCGAAGCCUGAGAACACAUACCUGAAACAUUUAUUUGGUGUUAUUAAGGGUAAAGGAUGCUCCACAAAUGAUUGACUUUGGGGGUUGAAUAUUUCUGACACGACAUUUGUGGAGAGAAUUAGUUAUUUUUUAUUUUAACAUUUGGGUAAACCGAACUCUUUGUUCUCAAAAUCACUCAAAUGUGUAUUAAAAACUUACUUUGACUGUUUUUAGUACAGUUUUAGUUGAUGUGUUUUAAUUCACAUCACCAGAAUGUAUUGCUGGUCAGAGGGGUUGAAUAAUUUCGAUUGCAACUGUAUAUGAUAGUAAAUUCCAUGUAAAGAAAUGCUAAAUAUUUCAUUUUUAUUUAGCAUAAAAUUUACUAAAUUCACACACAAAAUCUCACAGGUAAAGUUUUGUUCCAGACUGAUACAAAAUAUGCUUCAGAGGAAGAAUUCACUGAAUUUGCUCAAGUUUUGUGAGGUUUUUUGAAUAAAAUAUUAAAAAGAUAUUCAGUUGUUUUGUUUAAAUGAGAUAUCCACAUAUUUACAGAUAGUAAAUGACAGAAGUUUUAUUGCUAUUUGCCUUUUUAUCGUUAAAAGUUACAGGGAAUUGUUGAUGAGAGAGAAUGAAACAUGCGAGCUCUUUAAACAUCAUGAGCUUGAUAAGUGCACUUCUGUUUGAAUGAGACUUUAUUGAACACACACGGUCUAUUAUUAUGGUAAAAUAACAAAACAAACUGUGAUUGGUCAUUUACAUGUCACUAAUGACUCCUUCACAUGCAAGCCGGCGAUUGUGACAUCACGGCUUACGAAACUAAUCAGUCAAACAGGAAAUAUAUCUGCUGAUGCAGUAGUUAAAUACAGAAUAUUGGCCACUGUAUCGGCCUCAGCGAUAUAUCGGUUGACCAAUACUUGAUGUGUGUUCGGUGUAUCUCUUUUUCCUGGCCUAGAAUGGUGAAAAUGUUGAAGAGUUGUUUUGUUGCCAAGACUUCAACGUGUGUGGCUACACAGAAAAUAAACUUUUAAAAAUAAACCUACUUUGAGAAAUAUUCACUGGAGUAAAAGUGUGACAACUUUCCCCAGCCUCUCAUUUAAAAAUAAUAAUAUACUAUUAGUCUUAAUACAUGGUUUGCUCACCACAUUCUUCUCUACUUUAAACAGGCUGGAAAAAACUACAUGCUUAGAGAAUUUAGCACACGUGAAAGUAAAUUAUCAGAUCUUCAGCAUGUUCCUCCGGCUUUUUACACGGACCCCAACGAGAUCGUGCAACACUUACCACUGAAGCUCACUGAGUGUGAGAAACUCGAGUUCCCAUCUGUGCAGUGACAUGCAACAGGAGCAAAAUCGGACCACACACACACACACACACACACACACACACUCUCUCUCUCUCACUCUCACUAAAGACUCAAUCUCACAGCUGUUUGAAUUGAAUUUGUUGUAACAUCACAUGUGAUAUUGUCAUGUAAACUCUCAUUGUGGAAGUGUUUGUCUUACAGGCACUAAAUGUAAAUUGUGAUAUGAAACUUUUAUACAGAUGACUAUUGUGUGUUGUGCAAUAAUUGACACAAAUGUCUAAAUGUCCAUGGGCAGUUUUUAUUAAAAUCCUUUAAAUGA